CGCAUGUCAACAUACGUAAGUUGCAUGUUGACAUAAAUCAACAUGCAAGAUAAAUAUGCUGACAUGCAAAUUAUUUAUGUCAACAUGCAACUUAUUUAUGUCGAGAUGCAACUUAUUUAUGUCAACAUGCAACUUACGUAUGUUGACAUGCGAGAUAAAUAUGCUGACAUGCAACUUAUAAGCUGUAUGUCAACAUAACUAAGUUGCAUGUCGACAUA
rnacentral:snoRNA from 1 species